CAGAGAUGCUACUUUUAUAGAAAGUAUUAUUUAAGUGUCCUUGCUUGGGUACUAGGGAGUGUUACACAAUGGUUCACUGGCACUAAGCUCACCAUACUUAUGUUGGGGAGCAAGACCUGAUAGCCAGCCUUUACAUGGGAGUAUAAUUCUGUCCUCCAUCUCAUAAGCCCCAGUACCUGAGCCAGAAUGAUUAUAACCAACCACACUGUCUCUUUAUCAUGGAUGGCUUUAGCAGUAGGUUAUUUUCAUCAUUGCCAUUUGUAGCUCUACAGUGGUUUAUAGUAAUUUCUCAUCUUUUAAGUCUCUCCCUCAGUGCCUGUUGUUAUCAAACUCAUUGCUCUAGCAGGCUUGCUCAGCCAUUAAAGAAAACAGCAACAGUCAAUAUUAUGUGCUCAACUAUAUAAGUAAGACCUUGUGAGUGCUGUAGAGGUUAAAAGACAUAAUAGAUGGUGUCUACCCUUGAGGGUCUUGCUCUGUUGUUGGGAAAGAGGAUUACAUCUAACAAUUAACAAUAAUGAGAUAACAUGCUGAGCAUCAGAUAAGAGCUUUACAUUGAGUUAAUCUCAGUUUCAUUUCCAUUAAAAUCUGGUUUUCUUAACAGGUAGAUGUUGAAACCAAAUAUAAUAGUUCCCUUAUGGCAGGGAACAUGAUUCUUAAGGAUAAAGGCUCUCAUAGCAUUUAUACUUUUAUGUACACACAUUUAUAUAUUAUACUUAAUAUAUGAGGUUUUAUAUAUAUUUGUGUGAUUAUUAAAUGACUGUCUGCUGGCACUACACUACAAUAAGUACCGUGAAGGCAGGGAGAAUGUCUCCUUUUGGUUAUAUUUCUUCCCUCAGUGCCUGCACAUAGUAGGGAGCAUAGUGAAUAUUUAUUAACUGAGGGGAGGAAUCCCCCAUCAACCUGGCCACAUUAUUUUGGGAGAUGGCUCAUUCCUGUUGAUGCGUUUAAGGCUGACAGUUCAUUCGGUAACCUAUGUCUAUAGCAUAUCUGAGCUGCUAGAGGGAUUGUCGUUUAAAUGAAAUGUAAACUAUAGCCCUAUCCACUUCUCCUCAUUACUCAUUAAGGUUAUAUUAGCUAGUCAGACUCCAACUUGGGCAAUUAUCUUUUUAAAGUUUCUACAUCUUAAAUUGUUGCCCAUAGUUGCCCAAGUCUCCCUUAGGCUCCAGGCUCAGCAAUUGUAAAUGCAUUUAAUUUCUUAUAAAUUAUUUGCAUGCUGCUGAAAACCUCCAAGGGCUUUUCAUUGCCCAUUUAGGUAAGGACUGGUAUUCCAUGUUCUGUAAAUAAGAUACCCAGCUUACCUACCUGCUUUUUCGCCUCCUUCCUGACAUUAACCUUCCAGUUACUAUACACCCUUGUAUUAGUCCGUUUUCGUGCUGCUGAUAAAGACAUACCUGAGACUGGGCAAUUUACAAAAGAAGGAGGUUUAGUGGACUUACAGUUCCACGUGGCUGGAAGGAAGCCUCACAAUCAUGGCGAAGGCAAGGAGGAGCAAGUCAUGUCUUACAUGGAUGGCAGCAGGCAAAGAGAGAGAGCUUGUGCAGGGAAACUCCUGUUUUUAAAACCAUCAGAUCUUGCAAGACUUAUUCACUAUCACGAGAACAGCAUGGGAAAGACCUGUCCCCGUGAUUCAAUUACCUCCCACCGAGUUCCUGCCACAACACAUGGGAAUUACAAUUCAAGAUGAGAUUUGGGUGGAGACACAGCCAAACUAUAUUAUUCUGCUCCUGGCCCCUCCCAAAUCUCAUGUCCUCACAUUUCAAAACCAAUCGUGCCUUGUCUUAACUCAUUUCAGCAUUAACUCAGAAGUCCACAGUGCAAAGUCUCAUCUGGGACAAGACAAGUCCUUUCUGCCUAUGAGCCUGUAAAAUCAAAAGCAAGUUAGUUACUUCCUAGAUAGAGUGGGGGUACAGGCAUUGGAUAAACACAGCCAUUCCAAAUGGGAGAAAUCGGUCAAAAAAAGGGGCUACAGGCCUCAUGCAAGUCCAAAAUCCAGCAGGGCAGUCAAAUCUAAAAGCCCUGUAAUGAUCUCCUUUGACUCCAUGUCUCACAUAGAGGUCAUGCUGAUACAAAAGGUGGGUUCCUUUGGUCUUGCAUAGCUCUACCCUUGUGGCUUUGCAAGGUACAGCCUCCUUCCUGGCUGCUUUCACAGGCUGGCAUUGAGUGUCUGCAGCUUUUCCAGGUGCACAGUGCAAGAUGUCAGUCAGUGGAUCUACCAUUCUGGGGUCUGCAGGAUGGUGGCACUCUUCUCACAGCUCCACUAGAGAGGGCCCCAGUAGAGACUGUGUGGGGGCUCUGACCCCACAUUUCCUGUCUGCACUGCCGUAGCAGAGGUCCUCCAUGAGGGCCCUGUCCCUUCAGCAAACUUCUCCCUGGACAUACAGGUGUUUCCAUACUCCAUCCUCUGAAAUCUAGGCAGAGGUUCCCAAACCCCAAUUCUUGACUUCUGUUCACUCCCAGGCUCAAUACCAUGAGGAAGCUGCCAAGGCUUGGGGCUGGCACCCUCUGAAGCCGCAACCUGAGCUCUGCAUUGGGCCCUUUCAGCCACGACUGGAGUGGCCGGGAUGCAGGGCACCAAGUCCCUAGGCUGCAUACAACCUGUGGACCCUGGGCCCAGCCCACAAGACCAGUUUUUCCUCCUAGGCCUCUGGGUCUGUGAUGGGAACAGCUGCUGUGAAGAUCUCUGACAUGCCCUGGAGACAUUUUCCCCAUUGUCUUGGGGAUUAACAUUCGGCUUCUCAUUACUUAUGCAAAUCUCUGCAGCUGGCUUGAAUUUCUUCUCAGAAAAUGGGAUUUUCUUUUCUAUCACAUUGUCAGGCUACAAAUUUUCUGAACUUUUAUGCUCUGCUUCUCUUAUAAAACUGAAUGCCUUUUACAGCACCCAAGUCACCUCUUGAAUGCUUUGCUGCUUAGAAAUUUCUUCCUCCAGAUACCCUAAAUCAUCUCUGUGAAGUUCAAAGUUCCACUUAUCUCUAGCGUAGGGGCAAAAUGCUGCCAAUCUCUUUGCUGAAACGUAACAGGAGUCACCUUUGCUCUAGUUCUCAACAAGUUCCUCAUCUCCAUCUGAGACCACCUCAGCCUGGACUUUAUUGUCCAUAUCAUUAUCAGCAUUUUGGGCAAAGCCAUUCAACAAGUCCUUAGGAAGUUUGAAACUUUCCCACAUUUUUCUGUCUUCUUCUGAGCCCUUCAAAUUGUUCCAACCUCUGCCUGUUACCUAGUUCCAAAGUUGCUUCCACAUUUUCAGGUAUCUUUUCAGCAGUGCCCUACUCUACUGGUACCAAUUUACUGCAUUUAGUCCAUUUUCAUGCUGCUGAUAAAGACAUACCUGAGACUGGGCAAUUUACAAAAGAAAGAGGUUUAAUGACUUACAGUUACAUAUGGCUGGGGAGGCCUCACAAUCAUGGUGGAAGGCAAGGAGAAGCAAGUCACGUUUUACAUGGAUGGCAGCAGGCGAAGAGAACUUGUGCAGGGAAACUGCUGUUUUUAAAACCAUCAGCUCUCACGAAAUUUAUUCCCUAUCACAAGAACAACAUGGGAAAGACCAACCCCCAUGAUUCAAUUACUGCUCACUAGGUUCCUCCCCCGACACAUGGGAAUUGUGGGAGUUAAAUUCAAGAUGAGAUUUGGGUAGGGACACAGCCAAACCAUAUCAACCCCUCUUCUGUUUGCCCAGGAAUUUCAUUCUCAGCUUAUCUGAGUGCUUUGCUUUUCUCAAGGUCCAACCCCAGCCACACUGCCCAGGUGACUUGGGGGUUCCAUAUUGAUGAGCCCUGCUCACAAGGCCUACCUGCAGCCUGUCCUCUAUUUCCUGAGUUCCCCCCUUCCCUCAGUCUCCAGCUCCUUGCCUUAGAGGCCAAUAUCAAAUACUGCCCCUCCCUUAGAACUCUCCCUUGAACCUCUGUGGCCUUUUGUGGGACCUCUCCUCAGUCUCCCUAAUUUCUGUGAUUAACUUAUCACCUAACAUUUUUCGCAUCUUGAGAUUCGGAAGGAUAGAGAUUGAUUACUAGGCCUUGCCUUUAGCAUUUUUGUUUUCUCCAACAAAAUUGCAAAAACUUUAGAAAAAUGGGAAGAAGAAAAAACAUGAAUCCCUCCUUCCUCUAACACAACUACAGCCUUCCCUUUGGCUAUGACAAAUGCUGCCCAACAGAAAUUUAGCAUGAGUCACAAUU
rnacentral:lncRNA from 1 species